rnacentral:rRNA from 1 species
AGAUUGAACGCUGGCGGCAUGCCUUACACAUGCAAGUCGAACGGUAACGCGGGGGCAACCCUGGCGACGAGUGGCGAACGGGUGAGUAAUACAUCGGAACGUACCCAGUAGUGGGGGAUAGCUCGGCGAAAGCCGGAUUAAUACCGCAUACGACCUACGGGUGAAAGCGGGGGAUCGAAAGACCUCGCGCUAUUGGAGCGGCCGAUGUCGGAUUAGCUAGUUGGUGAGGUAAAGGCUCACCAAGGCUACGAUCCGUAGCUGGUCUGAGAGGACGACCAGCCACACUGGGACUGAGACACGGCCCAGACUCCUACGGGAGGCAGCAGUGGGGAAUUUUGGACAAUGGGCGAAAGCCUGAUCCAGCCAUGCCGCGUGUGUGAAGAAGGCCUUCGGGUUGUAAGCCUUUGUACGGAGAAAGCUUGGGUUAAUAACCUUGAGUCAUGACGGUACCGUAAGAAUAAGCACCGGCUAACUUCGCGCCAGCAGCCGCGGU